CAGUAGCCGCGGUAAAACGUAGGGUGCAAGCGUUAAUCGGAAUUACUGGGCGUAAAGCGUGCGCAGGCGGUUAUAUAAGACAGAUGUGAAAUCCCCGGGCUCAACCUGUGAACUGCAUUUGUGACUGUAUAGCUAGAGUACGGCAGAGGGGGAUGGAAUUCCGCGUGUAGCAGUGAAAUGCGUAGAUAUGCGGAGGAACACCGAUGGCGAAGGCAAUCCCCUGGGCCUGUACUGACGCUCAUGCACGAAAGCGUGGGGAGCAAACAGGAUUAGAUACCCCAGUAGUCCCUGUCUCUUAUAC
rnacentral:rRNA from 1 species